GACGAACGCUGGCGGCGUGCUUAACGCAUGCAAGUCGAACGAGGUCCAACCAGCUUGCUGGGGAAGACCUAGUGGCGAACGGGUGAGUAACACGUGAGGAACCCACCCUGGAGACCGGGAUAACCCUCCGAAAGGAGAGCUAAUACCGGAUGCCCUCAUCGGGCCGCAUGACCUGAUGAGGAAAUGGAUUCCGCUCCAGGACGGCCUCGCGGCCUAUCAGCUUGUUGGUGGGGUAACGGCCACCAAGGCAUCGACGGGUAGCUGGUCUGAGAGGACGGUCAGCCACACUGGGACUGAGACACGGCCCAGACUCCUACGGGAGGCAGCAGCGGGGAAUAUUGCGCAAUGGGCGAAAGCCUGACGCAGCAACGCCGCGUGAGGGAUGAAGGCUCUCGGGUUGUAAACCUCUUUCAGCAGGGACGAUUGUGACGGUACCUGCAGAAGAGGCCCCGGCCAACUACGUGCCAGCAGCCGCGGUAACACGUAGGGGGCGAGCGUUGUCCGGAUUUAUUGGGCGUAAAGAGCUCGUAGGUGGUUCGGUAAGUCGGGUGUGAAAACUCUGGGCUCAACUCAGAGACGCCACCCGAUACUGCUGUGACUUGAGUCUGGUAGGGGAGUGUGGAAUU
rnacentral:rRNA from 1 species